UUUCAGACCGACAAUGGGCGUGAAUUCGACAAUCUCGCAAAUCGCUCACUCUUUGCCUCCCACGGCACGCUCUUCCGCCUCACCUGUCCCCAUACUUCCCAACAAAACGGCAAGGCUGAACGGAUACUCCGUACCCUCAACGACGGUGUCCGGACCCUCCUCCUACACGCCUCCAUGCCUCCUCGUUGGUGGGCCGAAGCCCUUGCCACGUCCACCUAUCUCCUAAAUCGGCGUCCCUGCAAAGCCAAUCUCCUCACCACACCAUACGAACUUCUCUUCGGGACCCCACCCGAUUUUCGUCAUCUCCGUGUUUUUGGAUGCCUCUGUUAUCCCAACCUCAUUGCUACCGCCCCACACAAACUCUCCCCUCGAUCAGCGGCUUGCAUUUUUCUCGGUUACCCGGACGAGCGAAAAGGCUAUCGUUGUUACGACCCCAUUACCCGGCGCAUCCUAUUCUCCAGGCACGUAACUUUCGUGGAGUCUAUCUUUCCAUUU
rnacentral:rRNA from 1 species